rnacentral:tRNA from 1 species
AGGGAUGUAGCUCAGUUGGUAGAGUGCUUGUCUUGCAUUUAGAAGGCCCUGGGUUCAAUCCCCAGCACCAUUU